rnacentral:lncRNA from 1 species
CCUGCUUGAUCUCGGGACGCAACCCGUUCUCAAACUUCACACAUUUGGAAAAUUCCCCAGCAGCCUCAGCAUAGGGAGUAUAAUACUUCGACAGCUCUGUGAACUUAGCAGCAUACUCCGUAACGGACCUGUUACCCUGCUUCAAUUCCAAGAACUCUAUCUCCUUCUUUCCUCUGACAUCCUCGGGAAAAUACUUCCUCAGAAAUCUCUCUCUGAACACAGCCCAAGAAAUCUCAGCAUCUCCAGCAGUUUCCAACUCAGUGCGGGUAGCAACCCACCAAUCAUC